ACUAAUAUUAGACUUAUAUAAAUUAUGAUAUGUUUAUCAAGUUGGAGACACCAUUAAUUACUAAAUGUUUUCUUUUAAUUAUGCAAUACAUGUAACGGCCCUGGAAAUUUAAAUGAAGAUGUAUGUAUUAAAAAUUUUAAAUGCGGAAGCGAAAUAAAAAUUCUGAUUAACAUCCCUUACACAAUAACCAAAAACGUAUUCAACGUAUGAAAGAAUAAGCUAAUUAAAAGAAAUACUCGAAAUAAAAACUAUAAAUAUAACUAUAAAAUCUUUAGGCGUCUAACUCGCCGUCUUCCUGCGGAACGGGCUCGGGAACCACGUCUUCCUGAUCUGAAAUGGUUAAGUAAGGAAUGAGCUACACUAGCCCAGUAAAGACAUCACACUAUCUCACUGCCACAAAAGUAAAGGUUGGUAGAAAACAAAAACGACCAAUGGAGCAUAAUUUAUAACAAACUCAUUUAUUAAUAAUAAAAACCUUUACGAUCCGCCUCGGGUUGGCUGUUUUCGGCCGAAUUCGGCCAAACUGGCAUUGGUUCCUGCGAUAAAACAACCUUAGGGCCCUCGGUGGGCAGAAAAAUCACGGAAAACCAAGACUUACCGGCGGCGCAGCUCUCGGGUGCGGCGGCUUCUCCGGCGCGAGUGGCGGUUUGAUGUUUUGCUCCGGUCAACCUGUAGAGAAAAGGACGGUGAUAACAGUGGUGUAAAAAUUGAAUCGAACGGGAACCAGAAAGGGCCUCAUCAGAGGCAAAAAUCGAGGGAUGCCGCGGCGCCGCCGCUGGACUUCGGUGGUGUUUUUCGGUCGAUUGGCGGACGGUUUGGCUCCAAUUUGGCCAUAGGCGGAUUCAGCAUCGAAAAAUGAGCCAAGGGGAGAAAAUUUACCUCGUUUGGCGGUCGGAAAACCCUCCGGUGCGGCGGCGGGUGGCGGCGGCCGGCUCCUCCGACGACUGGUUCUUCUUCUCCGGCGAGGGUACUGGCGGCUAGGGUUUGGGGUCGGGUGUGGGUGAGGUUAUUUAUAACCUUCCCCUAUUAAUCUCAGCCGUCCAUCACGAUUUAAUCUGCACCGUCCGAUCGCGAUUAAAAUUGGAACAACUCUGGGCCGUCCAUCGCGAUGCGAUCUGGGCUAUCUGUGCGUGAUUCAAUCUGGGCCAUCCGCACGCGUGAGAUCUGGGCUGUCCGUGCGCGUGAGAUCUGGGCCGUCCGCACGCGUAAGAUCUGGACCGUUCGAUCACGUGCACGCGGAUCGCUCAUGUGGCUCCGUCCCGCGUGGCCUCCCGCGUCAGCUUCUUUGCCAUACGGCGUGUUCUGGUUGGCCGGAGCUGCUGACGUGACUGCUGACGUGGCACAACCUUUCUUAAUUGCGUUUUGACCCCCCGAUUUCUGAUUUUCCUUUCAAAAACACCCCCAGAAUCUAAAUUUUCACCCCUUUUUCCCAAAAUCAAUUUCAAUUAAAUCCCAAAAAUAAUUUUAC
rnacentral:lncRNA from 1 species